rnacentral:rRNA from 1 species
CGGUGGAGCAUGUGGUUAAUUCGAUGAUACGCGAGGAACCUUACCUGGGCUCAAAUGUAUGUUGACGUAUUCUGAAAGGGAUACUUCUUCGGACAAUAUACAAGGUGCUGCAUGGUUGUCGUCAGCUCGUGCCGUGAGGUGUCGGGUUAAGUCCCAUAACGAGCGCAACCCUAUCAUUAGUUGCCAUCAGGUCAAGCUGGGGACUCUAAUGAAACUGCCUACGCAAGUAGUGAGGAAGGUGGGGAUGACGUCAAGUCAUCAUGGCCCUUACGGCCUGGGCUACACACGUGCUACAAUGGUCGGUACAAAGGGUUGCCAAGCCGCGAGGUGGAGCUAAUCCCAUAAAACCGAUCGUAGUCCGGAUCGCAGUCUGCAACUCGACUGCGUGAAGUCGGAAUCGCUAGUAAUCGUGAAUCAGAAUGUCACGGUGAAUACGUUCCCGGGCCUU